AAUCUGCUGGAAUUACAGCCUUGAUCACUUUUUCAAUCACAUCCUGACGAAUUUGGUCAUUAGUAGCUUCUGGAUCAUGCUGAGUAGAAAUAACGACUGUAUCCACACGAACAGGUUUAUCGUGUUCAUCGUACUCAACUGUCACUUGAGAUUUAGCAUCUGGACGUAGAUAACUAAUCUCACCUGACUUACGUAAUUCCGCCAAGCGACGCACUAAUUGGUGAGAUAAGGAAAUUGGUAAAGGCAUCAAUUCUGGUGUUUCAUUGAUGGCAAAACCAAACAUGAGCCCUUGGUCACCCGCUCCAAUAUGGCUAAGGUCAU
rnacentral:antisense_RNA from 1 species